GCUCAUGGAACCAUGGAUCCAUUGUGACAAAGCAAGGCCUCGUGGAACCAAGGAGACCAUAGUGACAUCAUAGAACCUGGUGGAACCAAGGGUUCAUUGUUACAGUCCAGAACCAAGGGGACCAUGGUGACAAUAAGAACCUCACAGGACCAAGAUUCCAUUGUUGUGCAGUGGGGCUUCAUGGAACCAAGGAACCACAGCAGGGCCACACAGAACCAAUGGUCCGUAGAGAUACUGCAAAUUCAAGGAGACCCUGGUGAUGCUAUGGAACCUCAUGGAACCAAGGGGCCAUUGUGACACUGUGCGGCCUCAUUGGAACAAAGGACAUGGUUGAUAGGACAGAAGCUCCUGGAAACGAUGGGACAUUGUGACACUGCAGAGCCUCGUGGAACCAAGGAGACCACUGGGACACUGAGGAACCUUAUGGAACCAAGCAGCCUUUUUCACACUAUGGAACCAAGGAAACCAUUGUUGACAGUAAAAAACCUCAUGGAAAUGAGGGGCCAUUUUUAUACAGCGAGGCCUUGUGGAACCAAGGGGCCAUUGUGACACUGCAGGGCCCCAUGGAACCAAAUAUUCAUGGUGACACAGCAGGGCUGCUUGUGACCAAUUGCCCAUUUUGAUACUGGAGAUCCAAGAGACCAGGGUGACACUAUGGCAGUUCAUGGAAUCAAGGGGCUGUUGUGACACACCAAGGCCUCAUGGAACCAAGGACAGCAUUGUGGCAGUGCAGAACCAAGAAGGACAUUUUGACAAUAUGGAACCCAAUGUCACCAAGGGUCCAUUGUUAUACAGCAGGGCCUGAUGAAACCAAGGGGCCAUCGUGAAACUGUGGGGCAUAAUGGAGUCAAGGACACCACUGAUAAUGAAAUCCACAGGACAGAAACUUUUGAACACAGUUUUGAAUAUUUGAAAGCAGUGCUCACCUCGCAUGAAGUGUGUCUGCAAUCCCCCAACGUAUGGGCUUGGGGUGGGCAAGUGUUCCUGGGGAAACAGGGAUGGGACAGCUGGGCUGGACUGACCCAAGGGAUGUCCCACUCCAUGACACACCAUGUUCAGCAAUCAACUGAGAGAAACGGGGGGACAAGGUGGGUAGGGGAUUAAUUUCUUUAAUUUCUUUUUUAAGACAUUUUUCUUUCAAAACAGCACCUACACAUACAGAGUCUUCUCCUGUGACAAGGUGGUUAAAUAUUUUCUGCUGAUAAGAGAUUUCCUGUGGAUUUGCUUUUCUUCUGUUUGUGGCCUUUUCUUUUUGUGGUUGGUUUGUUUGUGGGGUUUUGUGUUGUUGUGGGUGGGUCUUGCUUUGGUUUUCUUGAUUGGGUUUGGGGUUUUUUUUGUUUGAGUUUGGGUUUUUCCCUAUUGAAUUGCCUUUCUUCUGAUGCAUAAGUUUUCCCUGCCUUUUCUUGUGGCUUGCUUGGCAUCUGAUGGCAAGACAAAUUUACCUAACUCAGUCAUCUUGUCCAGUUAUGUUUUGCAGUCACUAUUUACUAGAUGAGUUUGGUCACAGACUUGGCAACAUCCACAAAGGAAUUAAAAGUUAAUUUCUUCCCAUUGUAGAGAUAGCAGAAACGUUCCCCAGCAGUGGUGAAGGGCUGGUCACUGAGGGAUGUCACCAGGGUGUGGCUGCCAAGAGGACUCUGUACCACAGAUGACAUUUGACCCUCAUUGUUCAGCCAAA